rnacentral:snRNA from 1 species
GGGAGCAAUUCCCUACCAUC